CGGGACCUCGACACACACUCGCAGCGCGCCCUCCGCAAAAGCGCCUCCACGAAUACUUAUAGCUUCUUCUGGUGUAUUGCAUUGCAGUCUGAGGAUUCAAAAGCGCGAUGGCUUGUCACCCCUUUGCUGUGGUCCUAGCGUGUCUGGUCCUGGCGACGGCGUCCUCCCUGUCCGUUUUAGAAAAGUCAACGGUAUUCGACUAAUUGCAAGGACAGCUGGAUAACCUGGAAGUGAGAUAUUAUAAAUCAUAAAAAAUAAGAUAGCUUCGUAUUUAAUUGCAUUUGGCUGCACGAUCCCCAUGUACCCACC